AUGCCUAGCAAAUCAACUCUUUUGUACUCGACAAUUCUGAGUUUGAUCGUUAAAUCUGAAUAUAGUUUAGAAAUAGUUUUUUAUGACUUGGACUAUUGGUUUCGUUUCCUUCGGCCUUUGUUUGUGCUCCAACAGCAAAUAGGCACAUGGGGCAUGCCACCACGCCGUAAAUUUGGGUGGCCGCUGAGGGCACUUUUGACAUUUCGCUUACCCCUGCGCAAUGUGCCUUCCUUCGAUUCAUUGCUCUUUGCCCAAUCGACGAGACGCUUAGGGCUGCGGCCGCCAGCCCUAUACCUCCCCCUCUCUAAUCUCUCGAGCGCCGCAAAGAGCUUACUAUUUCCAUUUGCUCAGCAAAGUUUUGAGAUAUUCCAUCCUAAUUAUCUAAUUGUAAUGCUUUUAUGA
rnacentral:rRNA from 1 species